rnacentral:tRNA from 1 species
GCGAGAGUGGCGAAACGGGUAGACGCGCUAGACUUAGGAUCUAGUGUCCUUGCGGACGUGGGGGUUCGAGUCCCUUCUCUCGCACCG